AUCCUGGCUCNAGCGAAAUGCUUGCUCUCUGACGUUAGCGGCGGACGGGUGAGUAACACGUGGAUAACCUACCUAUNAAGACUGGGAUAACUUCGGGAAACCGGAGCUAAUACCGGAUAAUAUAUUGAACCGCAUGGUUCAAUAGUGAAAGACGGUUNUUGCUGUCACUUAUAGAUGGAUCCGCGCCGCAUUAGCUAGUUGGUAAGGUAACGGCUUACCAAGGCAACGAUGCGUAGCCGACCUGAGAGGGUGAUCGGCCACACUGGAACUGAGACACGGUCCAGACUCCUACGGGAGGCAGCAGUAGGGAAUCUUCCGCAAUGGGCGAAAGCCUGACGGAGCAACGCCGCGUGAGUGAUGAAGGUCUUCGGAUCGUAAAACUCUGUUAUUAGGGAAGAACAAAUGUGUAAGUAACUAUGCACGUCUUGACGGUACCUAAUCAGAAAGCCACGGCUAACUACGUGCCAGCAGCCGCGGUAAUUAA
rnacentral:rRNA from 1 species